GCCGCUGUAGCUCAGUUGGUAGAGCAACUGAUUCGUAAUCAGUAGGUCAGGGGUUCAAAUCCCCUCGGCGGCUCCA
rnacentral:tRNA from 1 species